UUCUGUGUUAAAACCCUUUACAUGCAUCCAUCUUCGCGUCGGCCCUGUGAAGUCGCCACCGUGAUUAGCCUCAGUUUUCAGAGGAAGAUGCUGAGAUUCAGAAAGAUAAAGCGACUUGCCUGCAGUCGCAGGUCAGACUGGUGAAUACUUGUGUUACCAGGCAGUUGGCACCCAAGGCCCCCAAAGGGAAGAACAGAGCUUUCAACUCUUUCAUCAUCAAAGACACUUAUGGAGUAUAGGCAGUCUCUUCUACCAUUACAUAUGGGAAUACUUGAACAUGGGUAUGAACUACAAGAAGAUACCAGUAGAGAAAAUGAAUUUCAAAGUAAAAAAGAAGGUUCUGCCAAUGAGAACCCUCACUUGAGGAAGGUGGGAAGAAGGGAAAAGUCUUUCUGUUUUUGGCAGUGCCUCUGGCAACAUCAGCAGCAGUGGUUCCAACCUAGCGAAUGGAGACCCUU